UGAUUGCUGUUUUGUGAUUGACUUUUACCGUUUCCUUCUUUCUUCUUUAAUCAUUUUUAGUAUCGUUAUUAACUCUCCUCUUCGUCUCCAGACUAAUCUGACAAAUCUCGGUGAUUGGAUUUUGAUUUGAGGAAGCUGAAAACUUAUCUGCGAAUUCGGAUUUGAGUUUCUGUAUGUGGAUGUAAGGGCUAUUCUCUGAAAAUCAAGUUGUUUGACAUUAUUAGGGAGAGGUUUGGACUGGAAACAAUGGUUGAAACUCAAUUUGACCAACAAUGGGCGGAUGGUAAGGUGGAAGAAUGGAAAAAUGCAAUUCACGAUGGUGAACAUGUUUAGGAUUAGCAGACUGUACUGCAAAUAUUACUGAGUUUUGAGUUGGGAUUAUUGGAAUUUGAUAAUCGAAAGCCUCUGUAUGCACCACGCUGAAAAAUGGCACAACCAGGUUUUUGUUAAGUGUAAUUCCAAACUUCACAAGGGUAAUUCCUUUAUUUGUUUAUCACUCUUUUGCAGCUUCUGCUUAUUGUAGUUAUGUCUGGUUAUAAGUGUUCUUUGUUAAUUGCUUUGAUUGGUUUAAUUUACUGCAGUGAAGACAGAGGAACAAUGAAGUUCAGUUUGCUGGUGAGCUUAAACUCAAGGGUUAUAGCUACCGGUU